UUACAUUUCCAGAAUUGUGUCUUAUAUUGUUUUUCUCGUUUCUGCUGCAUUUUCAUUAUGGUAUGCAAGCUAGGUUCUUCCUAGGAUAUGCUAUCUUAGGUUGUUUUUUUAAUUAUGAAUGAUUCUGGUUCCAAUAUGGAGGAGACACCUACUCCCCAUACUUUUGGAUCUAUCCCAGUUUUAACUCAAACCCACCCUCUUGCUAUCAAACUCACAGAGAGCAAUUACCUUGUUUGGAAGCAACAACUCAUGUCUACUAUUCGAGCUUUUGACCUCGAAUCAUUUUUAUUUGGAGAGCAAACAAUUCCUUCUAGUCUGAUUUCAGUUGAUGGUUCUCCUCAUCAGAUCGUAAAUCCAAAUUUUUUGGUCUGGAGGCGCCAGGAUCAGCUAUUAGCCUCUUGGCUUCAGUCAUCUCUCUCUGAGAACGUCUUGGCAUUAAUGGUUGGGCUUACUACUAGUCGGGAAAUCUGUAUGGCUUUGGAAGCAAAUUUUGCAAGCCAAUCCAAAGCUAAAAUUAUGCAGUAUAGGCAACAACUUCAGUCAGCUAAAGGACUUUCAAUCUUUGGGAGAGUAUUUGAGCAAAGUAAAGAGUUGUUGUUAUUCUCUUGCUGCUGCAGACAGUCGCAUUUCUGAAGAUGGUCAAAUUCUAUAUGUUCUAGAUGGUCUUGGCAUAGAAUACGAUCACGUAAUGGUUGCUAUCUCUGCAAGAAUCGACUGAUGGACUAUGCAAGAAGUUACAUCUUUGCUGCUUAGUUUUGAGUCCAUAUUGGAUGCUGCUAAGAAACCCAAAAUUAAUAUGGAUGGUUCCUCUCCCUCCCUUUAUGUUGCAAGAAAUUAUGGAUUUGGAUAUGGUUUUCGAGGAGGCAGGGGAGGUAGAUCAGGUUGUCGAGGUCUGGAGGCAAGCUGAUAUGUCAGCUAUGUCAAAAACUAGGUCACUCAUCUCAUCAUUGCUAGUAUCGUUUUGAAUAAUCCUCCAUGCCUCCUCCACCCUCUAGGCAGAAUCAACCACACCACAAUAACUUUGGCAAUUUUGGGAAUUCUCAUCCAUCUGCCAAUGUUACCCAUGCUAGAGGCACUUCUCCUUCUCCUGUUCCUGACUACAACAAUUACAGCAAUGAUGCUUCCUCCUCCAUUUCAUGGUAUCCAGACUCUAGUACAACGCAUCAUGUGUCAAAUGCUUUCUCAAAUUUGAACAUUGCAUCAAAAUAUCAUGGAGGUUUCCAAGGAAGUACUACUGGAGGGCACCCUUGAGAAUGGUCUCUACAAGUUCCGUUUCCACAAAUCUACUGUUUCUUCAACUCCUUCAAUAUAGAACCAAUCUGCUGCAGCUCAAUCCUCUAUUCCCCCUACUGUUUUUAGCUCUUCAUGUAAUAGCCUUGAUAGUCUUGAACUUUGGCAUCAAAGGUUGGGUCAUUGUGCUCUUCCUAUUGUUAAAAAAAUCUUGAUGGAUUGUAAUAUUCCUCAUUCCUCAAUGAAAUCAGAUUUUAAGUACUAUGUUAACUUCAUUGAUCAUCAUAGUCGAUUCACAUGGAUUUAUCUUCUCAAAACCAAAAAUUAACUUCUAUCUGUUUUUCAACACUUCAAAUCUUCAGCUGAAAACCAACUUAACUCCAAACUCAAAAUGCUUCCAAGCGAUUGGGGUGGUGAAUAUAGGGGCUUAACUGACUUUCUUCAUUCCAACGGCAUUCACCAUAGAGUUUCUUGUCCCUAUACGCCACAACAAAACGGCCUAGCUGAAAGGAAGCAUAGGCACAUUGUUGAAACAUGUCUCACACUUUUAGCUCAAUCUGGUCUGCCAUUUGAAUUUUGGGAUGAUUCUUUUAGCACUGUUGUUUAUCUCAUUAACAGGACUCCCUCUAAAGUUCUCUCAUUUGCCUCUCCCUAUCAGAUUCUUUACAAAUCCAAACCUAACUAUCAAGCACUCAAACCUUUUGGAUGUCUUUGCUAUCCACACAUUAGACACUUAACCAAAUCCAAAUUAGACUUUAGAUCAGAUUCAGCAGCUUUUCUAGGCUAUAGUCCCUCUCAUAAAGGGUACAAAGCACUGCUACCUAAUGGAAAACUCAUCAUUACCAGAGAUAUAAUUUUCAAUGAGUCUGUUUUUCCCAUACAAAACUAUCUUUCAAGCUUAGCCUCCCUCUGUUCCCUUUGAUCUUCCUAAUCCCAUCUCAUCUUUCAUUCAGCCUCUCUUUGUUCCCACUAACCUCACUAACAUUCAGUCUCAUCUAACUGAUUCUUGCUCAUCCCCUAUUUCUCCUUCUGCUAUCAUAUCAUCUCCUAUGGUUACUCCCCCUGAUGCUUCUCCUUCACAGAUUUCUCUUCCAUCUCCUAUAAUAAAUUCUAAUCCUUCGUCAUCUCCAGAUGUAUCUCAUAUUAUCUCUUCUUCCACUCCUGUUGCUAAUCCCAAUCACCAUCAUAUGAUCACAAGAUCCAAGCAUGGCUUUUUUAAACCCAAAAUCCUCACUGCCGAUGCAUCUUCCAGUGAUGAUGAGCUUGUUUUAAUCAUUCCCCAUUAAGCUAAAAUAGGUCUUGCUAUUCCUGUAUGGAAGUGUGCUAUGACAGAGGAAUUUCUUGCCUUACUCAGAAACAGAACUUGAACUCUUACUUAUCUCCCUCUAGGUAAGAAUCUUAUUGGAUGCAAUUAAGUUUUUAGGCAUAAGAAACAUGUUGAUGGAUCCAUUGCUAGACAUAAGGCUCGAUUGGUAGCAGUAGCACAAGGCUUCUCUUAAGAAACAGGCUUUGAUUUUCUUGAAACUUUUAGCCCUGUUGUUAAGCCUAAUACCAUUAGACUGAUGAUAAGCAUUGUUGUUACAUCUGGUUGGUCAAUUAAGCACCUUGAUGUUAACAAUGCUUUUCUUAAUGGUGAUUUGGAGGAAGAAAUCUACAUGAGGCAGCCUUCUAGAUUUGAACAAGGUGCUCCUGGUAUGGUUUGCAAGCUUAACAAAGCCUUGUAUGGUCUCAAGCAGGCAUCAAGGUCAUGGUAUAUCACUAUGCACUCAACUCUUAUCUCUCUUGGUUUUCAAUCCAAAGCUGAUCAUUCAUUCUUUUUUUAAAACCAAGUCAGAAAUCAUCUAUCUUCUUAUUUAUGUGGACGACAUAUUAAUAAAUUGCUCUUCUCCCCCUGGUAUCAGAAAAUUGUUAAUCAUCUUCAUAAAACUGAGGUAUCUAAAACUGCUCAAGAUCUUCAUUUAUCUCAGACUACCUACAUAACUGAAUUGCUUAAAAAGGUGAAGAUGACAGAUGCUAAACCAUUUCCUACUCAUAUGGUUUCUGAUCUGAAGUUGAGUAAAAAUGAAGGAGAACCUACUAUUGAUGGUAAACUCUAUAGGAGUGUAGUUGGAGCUCUAUAAUAUGUUACUGUCACUCGACCAGAGUUGAGUUUUUUAGUCAACAAAGUUAGUCAGUAUAUGUCAUGCCCUCUUGGUUCUCGCUGGAAAGCUGUCAAGAGAAUCCUAAGAUACUUGAAUGGUUCUACUGAUUAUGGUCUACACAUCAAAGCCUCAAGUUAUACUUUGUUUGGUUUUCUAAUUUUGAUUGGGCUUCAGACAUUGAUGAUAGAAGAUCUACAUCAGGUUAUUGUGUUAACUUUGGUGAUAACUUGGUCUCUUGGUGUGCAAAGAAACAAAAAGUUGUGUCCAGAUCUAGUACCGAGGCAGAGUACAGAAGUUUGGCACUUGUUGUCUCUGAAAUCACUUGGUUAAAAUCUAUUUUGCAAGAGCUGAAUAUUAAGCUCAAAGCCCCACAUGUUGUGUGGGUGGACAAUCUCAGCACUAUAGCUAUGGCGUCUAAUCAUGUCCUACAUUCUCGAGCCAAGUUUAUUGAACUUGAUAUUCAUUUUGUGAGAGAUAAAGUCGUUGAUAAAGAAAUUGAUGUAAGGCAUGUGCCUUCUCAUGAUAGGUAGCUGAUGUGCUAACCAAACCACUAAGUCUCCAAUUCUUCACUAGGCUGCAUAAUAAACUUGGUGUUUUCUCACUUGCCUCCCUCGAAUUGAGGGGAGAUGUUA